AGGGAAGAGGGUGAGGAGGUGGAAGAGGGUGAGGGAGGGAAGAGAGUGAGCUUGAAUUGGUUGAAGAUGGCAAAAACCAAUUGGAGAUGGUUUGUUAAAGAAGAAUGGUAGAAAGCAUAAGCAGAGUGAGCCGUAAGCCGGAUCGAAGACAGGUGGAGAAAUGGAAGGGAAUUAGUGCGAAUUAUAGGAGGUGGCCGGUGUGGUGAACUUCUCGGAGCCCGAGGCUUGAUGGUCAGGAUAAAGAUGAGUCUGUGAUGGUAGGAGUGAUAUAAUGAUGGUCAGGGUAAAGAUGAGUCUGUGAUGGUAGGAGUGAUAUAAUGAUGGUCAGGAUAAAGAUGAGUCUGUGAUGGUAGGAGUGAUAUAAUGAUGGUCAGGGUAAAGAUGAGUCUGUGAUGGUAGGAGUGAUAUAAUGAUGGUCAGGGUAAAGAUGAGUCUGUGAUGGUAGGAGUGAUAUAAUGAUGGUCAGGGUAAUGAUGAGUCUGUGGUGGUAGGAGUGAUAUAAUGAUGGUCAGGGUAAAGAUGAGUCUGUGAUGGUAGGAGUGAUAUAACGAUGGUCAGGAUAAAGAUGAGUCUGUGAUGGUAGGAGUGAUAUAAUGAUGGUCAGGAUAAAGAUGAGUCUGUGAUGGUAGGAGUGAAAUGUUUGAAGAAAGUGGACCCCUGUCUUUUGGCUGAU
ensembl:lncRNA